CCUACGGGUGGCAGCAGUGAGGAAUAUUGGUCAAUGGGCGCGAGCCUGAACCAGCCAAGUAGCGUGAAGGAUGACUGCCCUACGGGUUGUAAACUUCUUUUAUAAAGGAAUAAAGUGAGGCACGUGUGCCUUUUUGUAUGUACUUUAUGAAUAAGGAUCGGCUAACUCCGUGCCAGCAGCCGCGGUAAUACGGAGGGUCCGAGCGUUAUCCGGAUUUAUUGGGUUUAAAGGGAGCGUAGGUGGGUUGGUAAGUCAGUUGUGAAAGUGUGCGGCUCAACCGUAGCAUUGCAACUGAUACUGGCAGGCUUGAGUACAGUUGAGGUAGGCGGAAUUCGUGGUGUAGCGGUGAAAUGCUUAGAUAUCACGAAGAACUCCGAUUGCGAAGGCAGCUUACUAAACUGCCACUGACGUUGAGGCUCGAAAGUGUGGGUAUCAAACAGGAUUAGAUACACUAGUAGUC
rnacentral:rRNA from 1 species